GGAUCACAUUGAACUUAUAUACCUCAAUGACAUUUGUUUAUAAGGCAAUUAAACUAGAAUAAUCAUGAAUAGCCUCUAGUAUUUCUGUAAAUUUCACUUAUCUUUUCUUGUGACUUGAAUUGUUGAGAUCUCUCUAUUUUCAGAAUUUGUAAUCUGUUACCUAGAAAUUCAAAAUUGGCUUGCCCAUGUGUACACAAUGACUUGGUAACUCUAUAUAGAUGAUUCCAGUAUCUGGUGGUAAUUUAUUAACAUUGAAACUACCUGACUAAAUUG
rnacentral:misc_RNA from 1 species